ensembl:lncRNA
CCACCACGUUUCCUGGCAAUAUAACAGGAUCUGGAGAGCCUGACAAAAUUCCUCGUUUAACUGAUGAAAUCUAAUUUGCUAUGGAGAUCGCAGAAUAUUUUANCUUUUUGUAAAACAAAACCAAAACCAAAACCCAACUAAUAAUGAUAACAGCGUUUUUGGAAAAUUAGGUCAAAUUGGGGUUAACAUAAUUCCAGCCUUAAUUUUUUUAAAAAUGAAAGCAAUGCACUUGGCUCCUUACAUCCCCCCAUCGACUCGAAGCCCCCUCCCCUUCUACACCCCCCCAGUCCCUCGCCUUCCUCACCAGCCGGCUUCUCUUGGGUUGCAUCAGCUUCCUCGCCCUCGACGCUCUACUAUCUAGCCUGACAGCUUCCCCUCCCACCCUCGCUUCCUCUCACUAUACCCUCCCAGGACAGAGGGAAGAGCGCCGAGAGAUUGGAUCGCUAGCGAGAGGUUUCAAAGAGAAUGGGGGCGGGACGCCUGCCGCCUAGGCAGCUGCGUCAUUUGUAGAGAAGGGAGGGAGCCGAGGGAGGAAUUUACACUUGCGUCGACGAGAGGGUAGGAAGAGAGAGAGAGAGAAAAAAAAAGAGCGAGAGCGCACGCGCAGCAGGAAACGAGGGCGGUGCUUCCAUCGCGCCUUCGUGCUCCACCCCGCCCAUCGCUGUCCCCCACUUCUCUUCCGCCGCAAUCCAAUGGCCAAGCGCUCGACAGGAAGAGCUCCGCACUGCGCUUGCGCAGGCAUGAUUACGCCCACGUCUCUCUUCAGAACCGUAGAGGCCGUAGAUGGGCGUAGCAAAACAGGAGGGGGCGUGGCGUCAGCGGCGGCUUCGUCGUGGCCCUGUNUCGGUACGUGAGUGUUCACACAAACACCAAACACACACACACACUCUCUCACACACACACAGGGCGGCGAAGAUGGCGGCCGUUUACAGGAGCAAAAGGCCCUUUGAAGGCUCUGAAGAGGGCAGUGAACCCAAUGCAAAGAGGCAGCACCUUUCAAAGCACUGCGGCAAACCCUUCCUGGUCGCUUCAGUUCCUCCUUCCUCCAGCACUGGGGUUCCCCCAGUUCGUUCAGUGACCAUCAGCGACCGUUCCGACGGCAGCGACCUAGACGAUUCGCUGCUCGAGUUAUCGGAUGGCGAAAGCGAAGGCUCUCUUUCUGAACUCACCCAGGAGGAUGAGGAUAAACUCUUGUACGGUUCAGACAGCGAUCUGGAGACCUCAGGUUCUAAAGCAUUUAUUGCGAACGUGCAGCUUGCUCGGGUUCAAAGUGUGACCAUAACCGUAGUGGCUCCAAAUGGCCCUCCGGACUGCGCCAGGGAAGAUGAUGCUUUCCAGAAGGACCCUCAGAAUCCAGAAAGUGACGUAAACACCAGCUCUCUAAGCCAAGCUGGACUUGGUUUGAGUUCGGACUGUUCUGCGAUUGCAGAAGGUACACCAGUUGCAAGAUCGCUGUUAGGUCUGCAGAAAGCGGGCGAUGCGCCUGGGAUAAGAGGUGAACCUGCUCAGACAGUGAGCAGCAGCUCUUGGGCCACAAGCCUGCUUGCCACUGGAAACCACGCUGAGGAGCGGAUCCCCNCAAAUAAAACAGAGCUAGUAAGCGAAACUGGAAGCAACCCGCUGUGCAGGACCACGAGAGAACCUGCUUCUUCGGACACCCACCUGAAGUCUCCACCANCCGCCUCCAACUCUGCCAGCGACCAGCGAGAGGCUCAUGUGGGAGAUGCCAGUGGUGCAGAGCGAAAUCGGCCACCAGUGCCUAACUCUAGUUCUGUAAGGCCUAGGACGCGGAUAAACAUCAACGAGAGCGAGCUUGAAAUUGACAAGGAAAAAUACAUCCAAGCUGUACUUGCCCACGCUCGUGGUAGUGAGCAUAUUUUAGGUGAAGUCAAAGAGGUGCAUGCGCUGAUGUGGAAGGUUCAUCACGAGAGUCGCUCUCAGGAUCCCAGGCCUAGGCACCCAACAGAUCUGACUAAGAGAAACUACAAGCAAAGAAAUGACAAGGCAAAAAACAAGCUCACCCUGCAUCAAUGGUUCGAUAAGUGCGGACCUAACUACUGCCGGUUUGAGAACAUCCCCAGUCACUUUAAGCGCAGCCCUGUUCCGAAUUAGAAGUCGCCUUCCCCCGAAACUCUGCUGCAUCUGAUCUGCACUUUAAAA